rnacentral:rRNA from 1 species
AACGGGUGAGUAACGCGUGGAGGAACCUGCCUCAAAGAGGGGGACAACAGGUUGGAAACGACUGCUAAUACCGCAUAAGCCCACGGGUCGGCAUCGACCAGAGGGAAAAGGAGCAAUCCGCUUUGAGAUGGCCUCGCGUCCGAUUAGCUAGUUGGUGAGGUAACGGCCCACCAAGGCGACGAUCGGUAGCCGGACUGAGAGGUUGAACGGCCACAUUGGGACUGAGACACGGCCCAGACUCCUACGGGAGGCAGCAGUGGGGAAUAUUGCACAAUGGGGGAAACCCUGAUGCAGCGACGCCGCGUGGAGGAAGAAGGUCUUCGGAUUGUAAACUCCUGUUGUUGAGGAAGAUAAUGACGGUACUCAACAAGGAAGUGACGGCUAACUACGUGCCAGCAGCCGCGGUAAAACGUAGGUCACAAGCGUUGUCCGGAAUUACUGGGUGUAAAGGGAGCGCAGGCGGGAAGACAAGUUGGGAGUGAAAUCCAUGGGCUCAACCCAUGAACUGCUUUCAAAACUGUUUUUCUUGAGUAGUGCAGAGGUAGGCGGAAUUCCCGGUGUAGCGGUGGAAUGCGUAGAUAUCGGGAGGAACACCAGUGGCGAAGGCGGCCUACUGGGCACCAACUGACGCUGAGGCUCGAAAGUGUGGGUAGCAAACAGGAUUAGAUACCCUGGUAGUCCACACCGUAAACGAUGAUUACUAGGUGUUGGAGGAUUGACCCCUUCAGUGCCGCAGUUAACACAAUAAGUAAUCCACCUGGGGAGUACGACCGCAAGGUUGAAACUCAAAGGAAUUGACGGGGGGCCCGCACAAGCAGUGGAGUAUGUGGUUUAAUUCGACGCAACGCGAA